rnacentral:rRNA from 1 species
GACGAACGCUGGCGGCGUGCUUAACACAUGCAAGUCGAACGGAAAGGCCCUGCUUUUGCGGGGUGCUCGAGUGGCGAAGGGGUGAGUAACACGCGUGUAACCUGCCCUUGACUGUCGGGUAACUUCAGGAAACUGGGGCUAAUACCGGAUAGGAGCUCCUGCUGCAUGGUGGGGGUUGGAAAGUUUCGGCGGUUGGGGAUGGACUCGCGGCUUAUCAGCUUGCUGGUGGGGUAGUGGCUUACCAAGGCUUUGACGGGUAGCCGGCCUGAGAGGGUGACCGGCAUCCGGGGUCCUCCGUAACGGCCCAGAAUGCAACAGCACCAACACGCGCGGAAUCUUGCAGAACAGGAGAUGCCGUAGUACGAUAACCCCGCGUACGGGAUCCUGUCUUACGGGUAGAAAACCGAUUUCGUCUAAGCCAAACAGUCAGUGACGGUAAUGGGUCAGAAAGCCCCGGCUAACUACGUG